rnacentral:rRNA from 1 species
UACGAAGGGUGCAAGCGUUACUCGGAAUUACUGGGCGUAAAGCGUGCGUAGGUGGUUCGUUAAGUCUGAUGUGAAAGCCCUGGGCUCAACCUGGGAAUGGCAUUGGAAACUGGCGACCUAGAGUGCGGUAGAGGGUAGUGGAAGUUCCCGGUGUAGCAGUGAAAUGCGUAGAGAUCGGGAGGAACAUCCGUGGCGAAGGCGACUACCUGGACCAGCACUGACACUGAGGCACGAAAGCGUGGGGAGCAAACAGGG